rnacentral:lncRNA from 14 species
GUGACAUCUUUUCAGCAGAGAGGCUGCUCUGAUCUAAAUCAUCUUUCUGAGAUUUCAAGUCUGGAUAUGUGAAUAUUUAUGAAUUUUGGCCACCAAAUAUUAAUGGAUUACUGUAAAUAGAAAUGCAUCCCCUAUCUACAGAGAGAAGAGAGCAUUUUUGAAAACAAGGAUGAGUUAUGUGCUGGGAGAGAGGUGUUCAAAGAAGUCUCAGCCUGGGCCCAUCUGUAGUUAUCUGAGAAGAUGUUCUGGGAAAGAGAGACACUUGUGUGGGUGAUGGUGAUGUCUUCAAAAUGCUCUGAUGAGGAAUGUGCUUUGCCUGGUAUUCAAAGACUGAAGCAACUUUAUUGAGAUCAAUAAUAAGCACUGAUCCAUCCCUCAACCUUCUGCAGACUUCUCCCUUGUGGCAGCUCCAGAGCUUUAACACUCCAGGUGGAGUGUGUCUGGCUCCAGGAAGCUGUGGAGACACUGCAAUGAAGACUGGUAGAGCUUGUGAUGGCUCCAGCAAUAUACAGAGGGAAAAGCAGUCAGAGAGGCAUUUGUUGCAUGUGCCUGAGGCUUCAAAGGCAUCUCCCCAGAUCUAGGAAAGUUAUAAGAUACCAAAGUAGCUCAUAGUGAAAAAUGCUUAUUCACUAAUGACAAUAACAGCUGUGUCACGUGUUCGCUGCUAAAAUGCCCAAGGACACUCACCUGUAUUGUAUUAAAAACAAAGAGACCAGAAAUGUAUUAGUGCUGGAUAGAUAAAAUAUUUAAAUGGCUAUAGCUAGAUGGACUGUAGAGAUUGUAAUCUGAUAUGUAUGCAUGCACUGAACAUUUUUGUACUAGAGUUGCAGCAUAAAUGACCCCAUUAAAUCCUGUUAUUCUCCUAAUCCAAUAAGCGCUUAAUCUCAUUGCAAGUGUUGGAAAUAAUUAUUCAUUUAUACACUUGUUUUUUCCACACAUUUUAUGUCAACAAGGAGUAUGCCUUUGACUAAUCAGUUAAAACAGCGGGCAGAUAAAGUAAUGAAUAAGAAUCAAGAAUGUCCUAUUACUAGGAAGCACACCGUUGUUUUUUCUUUGGUCUGAGAUGUUAUUGAUUCUACAAAGAAAUGUUGUAUUAU